rnacentral:rRNA from 1 species
GUCCACGCCCUAAACGAUGAUGACUAGUUGUUGGAGGAGUUAAAUCCUUUAGUAACGCAGCUAACGCGCGAAGUCAUCCGCCUGGGGAGUACGGUCGCAAGAUUAAAACUCAAAGGAAUUGACGGGGCCGCACAAGCGGUGGAUGAUGUGGUUUAAUUCGAUGCAACGCGAAAACCUUAACCUACCCUUGACAUGUACGGAAGCCUGCAGAAAUGCAGGUGUGCUCGAAAGAGAGCCGUAACACAGGUGCUGCAUGGCUGUCGU